AAGAUUAUACUUUCAGAGAUCAUGUCUAUAGUUUCUAGCUAGGAAAUAUGAUGUGGAAGUGUUGCGUCUCUCUAAUUGCAAUGAUGAGUUUUGAUGUACUCUUCUGAACAUGAAUCAGGUUUUGGCUAAUGAUUCUUUCAUGAGUUUUAGUCAUUGAAGGAUGUUUCUCAUUUCUUAGGAAAGAUGAGAGGAAGAGUAUAUGAUCUGAGUGAU